AGCACUCACUACUGUAAGUCUCUAUGGAUAAAGCGUCUGCUAAAUGACGUAAA
rfam:Salmo salar isolate Sally breed double haploid chromosome ssa01, whole genome shotgun sequence.